UACGUAGGAGGCGAGCGUUGUCCGGAAUUACUGGGCGUAAAGAGCGCGUAGGCGGCACGGUACGACCGGUGUGAAAGCCCCCGGCUCAACUGGGGAGGGUCAUCGGUAACGGUCGUGCUAUGAGUGCAGGAGAGGGAAGUGGAACUCCGGGAGUAGCGGUGAAAUGCGUAGAGACCCGGAGGAACACCAGUGGCGAAGGCGGCUUCCUGGUCUGCGACUGACGCUGUGGCGCGAAAGCUAGGGGAGCAAACGGG
rnacentral:rRNA from 1 species